rnacentral:rRNA from 1 species
UGGGGAAUAUUGCACAAUGGGCGCAAGCCUGAUGCAGCCAUGCCGCGUGUGUGAAGAAGGCCUUCGGGUUGUAAAGCACUUUCAGCGAGGAGGAAGGUGGUGAGCUUAAUACGCUCAUCAAUUGACGUUACUCGCAGAAGAAGCACCGGCUAACUCCGUGCCAGCAGCCGCGGUAAUACGGAGGGCGCAAGCGUUAAUCGGAAUUACUGGGCGUAAAGCGCACGCAGGCGGUUUGUUAAGUCAGAUGUGAAAUCCCCGGGCUCAACCUGGGAACUGCAUUUGAAACUGGCAAGCUAGAGUCUCGUAGAGGGGGGUAGAAUUCCAGGUGUAGCGGUGAAAUGCGUAGAGAUCUGGAGGAAUACCGGUGGCGAAGGCGGCCCCCUGGACGAAGACUGACGCUCAGGUGCGAAAGCGUGGGGCAGCAAACAGGAUUAGAUACCCUGGUAGUCCACGCUGUAAACGAUGUCGAUUUGGAGGUUGUGCCCUUGAGGCGUGGCUUCCGGAGCUAACGCGUUAAAUCGACCGCCUGGGGAGUACGGCCGCAAGGUUAAAACUCAAAUGAAUUGAC